GUGUCAGCAGCCGCGGUAAUACGGAGGGUGCAAGCGUUGCUCGGAAUCAUUGGGCGUAAAGCGUACGCAGGCUGUUUGUUAAGUCGGGUGUGAAAGCCCGGGGCUCAACCCCGGAACGGCGCCCGAAACUGGCAGGCUUGAAUGCGGGAGAGGGAAGCGGAAUUCCUGGUGUAGAGGUGAAAUUCGUAGAUAUCAGGAGGAACACCGGUGGCGAAAGCGGCUUCCUGGCCCGACAUUGACGCUCAUGUACGAAAGCGUGGGGAGCAAACAGGAUUAGAUACCCGGGUAGUCC
rnacentral:rRNA from 1 species